UCCUCCUUUUAUAACCAUCGGUCCACUUUCCGGACAUGAUGCUCAAAUGCUACCUCUCGUUCCAGGAUGUCCUGACUGGUAGUUCUGAGGAGUGGACCCAGAGUUUCCAAUAUGUUGCCAAAGUCAACAGUGGGCACUUGACUAAAUAAUCACGCUUUUAAAAGAUGGAAAUGGAUUUGAUCUGGG
rnacentral:lncRNA from 1 species